UGUCAGCGCAAACAAAAACAAAUGGAUCAUACAACUGCUAUGAAUACAUUCGACUCGUUUGCUUCCAUCAAUCGGUAAGUGAGAAAGAUGAUUUCUCCCAUCAGUGCGGAUUUCCACUUCUAUCACAGCAGCCAACAACAUCCGUUUUCCUGCAGCAGUAACCUUCAACCCCUGUUGGCAAUGCCGGGGGACAGCAUCAACAGCAGCAGCAGCAGAAUUUGACCAUGGUAUGGUAUUGCGAAGAACUUUCCCCAUUAGAGGUUCCGUGCUUCGCGCACAUUCAAAAAUCCUCUUCAGACACGAAAACUCAACGACAAGGAGGUAUUUAUCAACUUGCUCAGCUGAAUUACCACCCGAAGGAACCCGAAUGCACUGAUUCCGUUGUAUAGUAGAAUGAAAAUAGGCGAGGUAAGCGAACGUAAUCGCAUGAUAUUUUAAUAGUUCGCAUUUUUAUCCGGAUCAUACAACUGCUAUGAAUACAUCCGACUCAAUCAAUCGGCGAGUGAGAAAGAUGAUUUCCCUCAUCACCACAUUGCUUAUUUCCACUUCUGUCACGCCAGCCAACAGCAUCAGCUUUCCCGCAGCAGUAUCCUUUAAGUCCAGGGUGCUAUUCCGGGGAACAGCAUCAUCAGUAACAGCAGCAGGACCUGGCCAUCGAUAGUAUUUCGAGCAAUUUUCCCCAUCGGAGAUCCCGUGCUUCACGCACAUUGAAGAAACCUCCUCAGCCACAUAUGUGUGUCAAGGAGAAAAAGGAGCUGGAUUCGAAUCGUCAAUCCAGACAACCCGAAUGCACCGAUUGCAUUAUAUAUCUUGUUUAUAUUUUAUAUGCAUUUUGUGUUUUUUUGAAUAAAAUGAUUAAAAUCGA